AGACGUAGUUGAAUACAUGGAAUUUAGUUGUCCUGGCUAUGCAUCAUCUCUAAAGGUAACAGUAAUCCCAGUCUAUAUUAAUUGAGUAUUAGUCACACUUAACGUUGAAAAUUUGGAGAUACUCUUACAUGUUUUUGCAUAUCAGGGAGGCCAUAUUGGACAGUUUGAAGCAAAUUCUAUAGGAUUUGAAGGAGAGAAAGAUGUGAUUGAUCUAUAGAAAAGUUUAAGAGUAAACUAAAAGAUCGGCUUUGCACUUAACGAUGGGCGGGUACGGAGUGCUUGAUCAGGAGCGGAGUGGCUGUACGGAUGAUCAUGGUAAAUACAUUAGUGUGGUCAAAUUUCUCAAUCCAUGUAAAUGUUUUUGGAGGCUGAAUUUGCAGGUCAAGUUGAAGGUUUUGAAGACAUACAUGUUGGCGAUCAUUUUGCUAUAAAUAUUAUACAGAACUUUAUAUCAUAGUUUAGGGAUAGAUUUUUUGCUUAGGGGGUUGAGUAAAAGUUGUGACCCACAUCAUAGAUGUUAAUCA